rnacentral:rRNA from 1 species
GAUGAACGCUGGCGGCGUGCCUAAUACAUGCAAGUCGAGCGAACAGAUAAGGAGCUUGCUCCUUUGACGUUAGCGGCGGACGGGUGAGUAACACGUGGAUAACCUACCUAUAAGACUGGGAUAACUUCGGGAAACCGGAGCUAAUACCUGAUAACAUAUUGAACCGCAUGGUUCAAUAGUGAAAGGCGGCUUUGCUGUCACUUAUAGAUGGAUCCGCGCCGUAUUAGCUAGUUGGUAAGGUAACGGCUUACCAAGGCAACGAUACGUAGCCGACCUGAGAGGGUGACCGGCCACACUGGAGCUGAGACACGGUCCAGACUCCUCAGGGAGGCAGCAGUAGGGAAGCGUCAGCGAUGGGCGAAAGCCUGACGGAGCAGCGCCGCGUGAGUGAUGAAGGUCUUCGGAUAGUAACACCCUGUUAUCAGGGAAGAACAAAUGUGUAAGGAGCUGUGCACAUCUUGACGGUACCUUAUCAGAAAACCACGGCUAACUACGUG